AGCACGGACUUCGGUCUGGUGGCGAGUGGCGAACGGGUGAGUAAUAUAUCGGAACGUACCCUGGAGUGGGGGAUAACGCAGCGAAAGUUGCGCUAAUACCGCAUACGAUCUACGGAUGAAAGUGGGGGCUCGCAAGACCUCAUGCUCGUGGAGCGGCCGAUAUCUGAUUAGCUAGUUGGUAGGGUAAAAGCCUACCAAGGCUUCGAUCAGUAGCUGGUCUGAGAGGACGACCAGCCACACUGGGACUGAGACACGGCCCAGACUCCUACGGGAGGCAGCAGUGGGGAAUUUUGGACAAUGGGGGCAACCCUGAUCCAGCAAUGCCGCGUGAGUGAAGAAGGCCUUCGGGUUGUAAAGCUCUUUUGUCAGGGAAGAAACGGUGAAGGCUAAUACUCUUUGCUAAUGACGGUACCUGAAGAAUAAGCACCGGCUAACUACGUGCCAGCAGCCGCGGUAAUACGUAGGGUGCAAGCGUUAAUCGGAAUUACUGGGCGUAAAGCGUGCGCAGGCGGUUAUGUAAGUCAGAUGUGAAAUCCCCGGGCUCAACCUGGGAAUGGCAUUUGAGACUGCAUGGCUAGAGUGUGUC
rnacentral:rRNA from 1 species